AUGGAGAAUCGAGCCUGCCCAAUGAAUAUUAAAUGGCCGCGGUACUUUGACCGUGCGAAGGUAGCAUAAUCAUUUGCCUUAUAAUUAAAGGCUGGAAUGAAUGGUGUGACAAGAGUGUUACUGUCUCUUAAUAGUUUGGUAGAAUUUUAGUUUAAAGUGAAGACGCUUUAAUAUAAUUGCUAGACAAGAAGACCCUAUCGAGCUUUAAUUUAUGAUAAAGAUAUUUUGUUAUACAGUUUUUGUUGGGGCGACUGAGGGACAAUUUUAGCUUCCCUUAUCUUUAUAUAAACUGAUUAGUGAUGAUCCAUAAUUUAUGAUUAAUGGAAUUAGUUACCGUAGGGAUAACAGCAUAAUUUUAUUUGAGAGUUCAUAUCGAAAAUAAAGUUUGUGACCUCGAUGUUGGAUUAAAAUUUCCUAAAGGUGUAGUCGUUUUUAAGGGUAGGUCUGUUCGACCUUUAAAAUUUUA
rnacentral:rRNA from 1 species